AUUGAACGCUGGCGGAAUGCUUUACACAUGCAAGUCGAACGGUAGAGGGGGCAACCCCUCGAGAGUGGCGAACGGGUGAGUAAUAUAUCGGAACGUGCCCAGUCGUGGGGGAUAACGUAGCGAAAGUUACGCUAAUACCGCAUACGAUCUAAGGAUGAAAGCGGGGGAUCGCAAGACCUCGCGCGAUUGGAGCGGCCGAUAUCAGAUUAGGUAGUUGGUGGGGUAAAGGCUCAACAAGCCAACGAUCUGUAGCUGGUCUGAGAGGACGACCAGCCACACUGGAACUGAGACACGGUCCAGACUCCUACGGGAGGCAGCAGUGGGGAAUUUUGGACAAUGGACGCAAGUAUGAUCCAGCCAUUCCGCGUGCAGGAUGAAGGCCCUCGGGUUGUAAACUGCUUUUGUACGGAACGAAAAGGUCUCUCUUAAUACGGGGGACUCAUGACGGUACCGUAAGAAUAAGCACCGGCUAACUACGUGCCAGCCGCCGCAGUAA
rnacentral:rRNA from 1 species